rnacentral:sRNA from 1 species
UUCACAUUACAUCCUCGCGACUAAUGACAAUCCUUAUCUUUUCCACUGAAAGACAAAGCCUCUCAUUAGCCGCGCGAACCUCUGUAGCGGAAGAUCCUCUUUAGAAACAACACCCAUUACCAUACUGCGUUCUUGUGUUGCUUCCUAGAAUAAAGGGGCCAAAUUUGGCCCCUUU